CACAAAACAGAGUCGAAGCUCCUGCUAGCGCGCUAGCUUAAGUUAGGGUUCGGAAGAGCGGGGAGGGCAGAUGAGCUGCCCGUCUUUGCCUUCACGCUCGCGCCUGAGGAUAGAGCGCCGCGCCCCUCGAGGGCUCCAGCCUCGCCGCUAAGCCCGUCUGGGAGUCUCCCGUUCCCGUCGGGGGAGACACGUCGGCUUCACACUUACAUAUUUUCCCCCGCAGACUCUGUAAAAUCCGGAUCUUAGCGUCGUCUUCUUCCGCCAUGGCAAAGCGGAGGAGAGCCAGCCCCAACAACACCGCGUCACGUCAGCUCUCGUGCAAACCCGAGAAUGAAAACAUUUGGAGAAAUCUUCAGGUUUUUUUUGUUUUCUCUCUUCAGGAGCUUCUCAGCCUGGAACUGUAUGCUGCCGGUUUCUUCCUGACAUUCUGGAGGCAUGUCCUCCAGUCCUGAUAAUAAGCUGUUUCCAGCACAUGAUAGACUGAAAACAUCAGCGUGCAGAUGACUCCAGCAUCUACGUCCUUUCGCCUCCAUCCGUGCAGCCAAUGUCCCGGCUGUGCCUCUUCCAGGGGGAUAACUCGCAGCUUAUGCCGCUAAAGUGGAGCACGCGUGGGUGAAAACGGGGCUCAUGGGCGCGUUUGUUCGGGAGCCACUGAGCAGGAAACGGCAACUUUUUCUAAGCUGGGUGGAGGACCGAAGGGAGAGCCGAGGGUUGCAGGGCGCCACAUCAGCUCCGGUCUGGACUCCACGGCUGCAUUCUGGUCUGUGCCGGGAGUCGGUCUCCUUCAGUGCAUGUGGACCGUAGCAGGGAAACCAUUUAGCAACGUUCAAAAGCCGGCAGCACUCUUAGGAGGAACAUACAUCCUCCACACAAAAACGACGCCGUCUGCUUCCAGCUGGCGCGCACAGCCUCUGACUGUGCAGCCGCACCAUGCUUAUUCAGUCAGAGUGGUUAGAUAACGUGGAAGCAGACGAGAGGCGUCCCCCGCUGCACUGCGCAGCCACGGCAUGCGGGACAGAUGUUCAGACAGGCUUUUUUUUUUUUGUGGCGGGGGAAACCAACGUAAGCUGUGUGCUCCCAGCAGGGAUUCAGAGGUGGACCAACGUGGAGGCUGCUGCUGCUGCUGAUUGAUGCAAAAACAGCAGAUGCGUCAGCACUGCAGACGGGGGGGAGGGGGGAGGAAGCUAAACGCUCCAAAGCCUCGGAGGACAGAAGCGACUGUUUACAAAAGAUGACUGCAGAGGAUUUUUACCCAGACUAACUACACUACAAAAACGCAAACCUGAGAAAAUAAAAAGACCUUUGUUUCAAGAAAAAAA